UACGGAGGGUCCAAGCGUUAUCCGGAUUUAUUGGGUUUAAAGGGUGCGUAGGUGGAACUAUAAGUCAGUGGUGAAAGUUUGCGGCUCAACCGUAAAAUUGCCAUUGAAACUGUAGUUCUUGAGAGAAUUCGAGGUAUGCGGAAUGUGUUGUGUAGCGGUGAAAUGCAUAGAUAUAACACAGAACACCGAUUGCGUAGGCA
rnacentral:rRNA from 1 species